rnacentral:rRNA from 1 species
UAGGGAAUCUUCGGCAAUGGACGAAAGUCUGACCGAGCAACGCCGCGUGAGUGAAGAAGGUUUUCGGAUCGUAAAACUCUGUUGUUAGAGAAGAACAAGGACGUUAGUAACUGAACGUCCCCUGACGGUAUCUAACCAGAAAGCCACGGCUAACUACGUGCCAGCAGCCGCGGUAAUACGUAGGUGGCAAGCGUUGUCCGGAUUUAUUGGGCGUAAAGCGAGCGCAGGCGGUUUCUUAAGUCUGACGUGAAAGCCCCCGGCUCAACCGGGGAGGGUCAUUGGAAACUGGGAGACUUGAGUGCAGAAGAGGAGAGUGGAAUUCCAUGUGUAGCGGUGAAAUGCAUAGAUAUAUGGAGGAACACCAGUGGCGAAGGCGGCUCUCUGGUCUGUAACUGACGCUGAGGCUCGAAAGCGUGGGGAGCAAACAGG